rnacentral:tRNA from 1 species
GGGCAGCUGGUGGGUGCAGGACAUCGCCGCCUCGCUCCCGGCGCGGCUGCUUGGCAAGGGGCCGGGCAGCGUGCUCGACCUGUGCGCCGCGCC